UACGAAGGGGGCUAGCGUUGCUCGGAAUUACUGGGCGUAAAGGGCGCGUAGGCGGCCUGUUAAGUCGAACGUGAAAUCCCCGGGCUCAACCCGGGAACUGCGUCCGAUACUGGCAGGCUUGAAUUCGGGAGAGGGAUGUGGAAUUCCAGGUGUAGCGGUGAAAUGCGUAGAUAUCUGGAGGAACACCGGUGGCGAAGGCGGAUCUCUGGGCCGUAACUGACGCUGAGGAGCGAAAGCAUGGGGAGCGAACAGG
rnacentral:rRNA from 1 species